UACGGAGGGGGCUAGCGUUGUUCGGAAUUACUGGGCGUAAAGCGCACGUAGGCGGAUUUGUAAGUCAGGGGUGAAAUCCCGGGGCUCAACCUCGGAACUGCCUUUGAUACUGCAAAUCUCGAGUCCGGAAGAGGUGAGUGGAAUUCCUAGUGUAGAGGUGAAAUUCGUAGAUAUUAGGAAGGACACCAGUGGCGAAGGCGGCUCACUGGUCCGGUACUGACGCUGAGGUGCGAAAGCGUGGGGAGCAAACAGG
rnacentral:rRNA from 1 species